rnacentral:rRNA from 1 species
AUGAGCCAGAACUUGAAGAGGGUCCAGGUAAACUUACAAAAAACACGUGAAGAGGAACCAAAAAGAAUUACAAUGUCAUAUUGGUCAGAACUCGAAGGGAGUCCACAUAAACUUACAAUGUCAUAUGUGACACAACAUGAAGAGGAUCCAGAAAAACUUACGAUGUCAUAUGGGUCACAAUAUGAAGAAGAUCCAGAUAAACUUACAAUGUCAUAUGGGUCAGAACAUGAAGAUGACCGAGAAAAGGUUACAAUGUCUUAUGGGUCAGAACAUGGAGAUGAUCCUGAUAAAUUUACAAUGUCACGUGAUUGGAACAUGAUGAGAAUCUAG